AUGCUUUCGGAUUGCUACAGGCGCGCCCGUGCAGCCCACGCAGUUCGUGCGUGGUUGCGGGCCGGAGGAGAGAGAUAUGCACAAGAGAGGAUAUCUGCCACGCCUUCCGACGUCACUCAUGCUUCGCAAAGAGUGACGUCAGCAUCUCUCAGCUUUUUCUUUCCUCCAUGGUCAGAGCACCCGCAGAUAUAAAAGGCCCGCUUGCACGCACUGAGCAUAGUUACGUAAUCGGUUUUUAGGAAACCCCAUGCUUCUCUUCGCGGUCUCGCAAUGGCGAAAGUUGCUUCCUUUGAAUGUCAGUACUGCGACCGGCGGUUAGCGAACAAUCGCAGUCUGCAGAGGCACAUAAAACUUGUGCACAAAAUCACUCACCCGAAGUACAACUGCGACGAGUGUGAAGUAGCCCUGACUUUGAAAGAACUGGAGUACCGCCAUAUUAGCGUGCAUUUCUUCGAGCCGGAAUAUGAGAGGUAUCACUUUCUGACAAUGCCAGCUUUCAAGUCAUAGAAGGAAAAGGUGGAGAAAGACACUCGCAGUCACUUCAUUGCAAGGACAGGUACAGAGACUUGGGGCCACCUGAAAAAGAAGCAUUUCUACUUUGUCUGUCACUGGUCUGGAAGUUAUGCUUCACAAGCUACAAGUAAACAAAAGCUGAAGCGGCCUUCAAGUGUCAAGUGUGGAAAAAGAUGUUUUGCGGCAAUGGCUGUGACUGAAGACAACACAGGUGUGUAUGUGGUUUUCCAAUUCAAGCACAGAGGCCACGACUUUGAACUGGGUCGUGUUUUUCUGUCCAAGUCGGAAAGAGCUGCUAUUGCUGACAAGCUGCGAGAAGGCGUGUCCAUGGAUGCAGUACUGGAUAAUGUGCGGUCCAACGUGGAUGAGACAUUCCACCGCAUUAACGUGUUAAGCAAGCAGGAUCUCCGCAAAAUAAUGAGGGAUGCCAGAGUCUCGAAGACCGAGCGGCUGCACGAUAAUGACUAUGUGAGCAUGCAACUCUGGGUUGAGAGGAUGCAUAGUGAAAAGGAAAACCCAUUGCUCUUCUUUAAACACCAAGGACAACCCGACAAAAAGUGACAUUUUUUUAGAGAAAAAAAUGAGGACCUUUUGGAUGACAGAGAUCUUAUGCUAGUCAUCAUGACCACACCACAACAGGAGCUUUUCAAGAGGCUUGGAACUGAUCGUAUAUGUGUCGAUGGAACACAUGGAACAGCAGGUGAGCAGUACUAUAUAAAUGCAUUAAUAAUAAAUGCAAGAAAGAGGGAAUGCUGUCCGAGAAUAAUUGCAAUAGAUAUGAUGAGUAGUAUUCCUUCACACAUGA
rnacentral:misc_RNA from 1 species